AUUUUGAAUCCACGUACAAACUGCUAAGUAUUACCAUACAGUAAAGGAAAACAGCUAUCACCACAGUGCUUUUUCCCAACAACAUUUUUAUUGAGUGUGCUCUCCGUACUAGGCAACUGUGCACUACGAAUACAAUGAGGGAGAGCAUGACGACGUCCUCCAGUAGGAGAGGAGACGCCUUCUGAAGAAACGGAUCUCUUCUGACACCCACCGGAAUUUCAGUUUUUCCACAGAGCACUUUCUGAAGUCACUCUACGGUUUCUAGGCCAAGAGUUCAUUCUACUCAAACUUCCGUUUAAAAAGAGCUGGAGGACCUGUGUGUCAAGUGCUUUCCACAUAAGCCUGAUGACCUAAGUUCAAUCCCUGGAACCAGCUCCACAAAGUUGUCUUCUGACAUCCAUGUGCAUGCCUUCUCACACACCACACAAACACACCCCCCAACACUUGACUUUGAAAAAGUAGAUCAAAGGUUACUCAGGUAAAUAUUUAAUUCUGAGAUGAGGUAAUAAUCCUCACCUUUAAAGGAACAAAUACAACAUGCCAACUCUGAUGAUGUAAAGCAACUUAUCCAAAAUCAUGGCAAAUGGCUGAGACAUUCAAGGAUCUAGGUCUCUCACACCCAUGCCUUUUCACAAGAGGCCAUGACUGGUUAAGUUGGAAUUUACUUAGGCUCUGGAAAAACCAAACGCAAUCUAGGGAGUCUGUAUAAGGAAACAGGGAAGGAAUCCUAAAGAAAGAGAUUGGUAAGGCUGAUUCUGCUCAAGUCUCCGUUAAGCCAGGUUACAAACUGCUGGCCAAGGAACGGCAGAAGGAAACUGGAACAGAGUGUACAAAGUCCAAGGCCUGGGCCCUGAUUCCCAAGUGCAUCCCGCUCCAGCACCUGAAUGUCCUGCUGGAGCUCCAUUUCCAGAAGCACCCAGGGAGAGCCAACACAAGGGCACUUAUAGAAAGAGCUUCCCAACAGGAGAUCCCAGUACUAGACUAGUACUGUCUUUUCUUCACACCGAGGCAGCACAGGGUACAGACUCUACAACCUACUCCUCUGACAAGCAGGAAGUGGCUUGAGAGAAGGACAGCUGCAGGCUGUGUAGACAGCAGGGCAGCAGUUCACCAGUCUAGUUUCCUGUGAAGCGCAAAUGUGUACGGUGUCAAGACAAACACCCAGAAAGAAGUAUGAGAUGAGUACAUUUAUUCCAAAACAUUAACACAUUGAAAACAGUUCAACUUGUCCAAGCCAACUUCAUCCAUUCUUUAAUCUUUUAUUAAACACAAUGUACAACCCCAAA